GAUGUGUGCUGGAUCUGUGGACCCAAAAGAGUACUGAUACCCAUUCUUAGAGGAGACUGGCAAGGUACGUGUGCUCUGACCAGUUUGAUAAUUCCACUGACCAUUGUUAAUGUUACUGCUGAACAGCUGUUGGGUUCUGUAUCCAGGGGACCUGAAAACAUUCCAUCCCAUGGGAGACAUAGAUGUAGUGCUCCAUGGACGGAGGAUGUAGUUGACAUACACACUAAUCUGUUGGGGGUGACUGUUGGGGUUCCUCAUGAAUUUCAGGCAUUGGGUAGGAAUGAUGGACUCUGGCACUUACUACCUAUUAUGGGUCCAGCCAUUGGGGAUGCAAGACAGACUGCAUGGAUUAAUUAUAUCUACUAUAAUCAACAGCGUUUUGUGAAUUACUCCCGUGAUGCACACACUGGUAUGCCUGAACAGCUUGAGGCCACAUCUAGGGUUGCCAGACAGAAUAGACUUGCUUUAGAUAUGCUUCUUGCCAGUCAUGGGAGUGUCUGCAAGAUGUUCGGUGAACAAUGUUGCAUGUAUAUUCCUAAUAACACCAGUUGGUAGAUGGUAGUAUAUCUAAGGCCCUUAGCGGGCUUGAUGCACUAUCUUCUGAGAUGAGGACCAUGGCGGGGGUGGAGGAGUCUGGACUGUUCUCUUGGUUGGGAGCCUGGUUUGGUAAGUACACUGGUAUCGUGGUUACUGGAUUUCUGACCCUAAUUCUUGUAUUUUUAUUAUUGAUGUGUUGUGCUGCUUGCAUCAUACCAUGUUUUAAGAAGUCUGUUACAGAUGUGGUGAAGGCUUCAGGCAUGAUGCCUUUGCUUGAUGCUCCAGUUGGAGAUGCUGAUACUGAAUCAAGCUUUCAGGGGAGGAUGGGACUGACUGAGGAUGACCCAUGCAUCACUUGUUGAUUUUUCUUUUUUCUUGGAUGAUUUUUUUUCUUCUGUUUUUCUGUAAAAAAAUAUAUAAUAAUAAUAAUAAUAAUGUUUUAUUAAUAAUAAACGUUUUAUUAUUUUCAUGAAAUGCUAUUAACAUAUUACUAUGUUGGGACUGCUGAAAUAAAG
ensembl:lncRNA